rnacentral:SRP_RNA from 1 species
GCGAAAAAACAAUAUAAUAAAUUAGUAACUGAAAAUUGCCUUUGAAAAGCUUCGCCCGGCAUGGUUUGGGUCCUGCGCAAUAGGACACUGUGAACCUUGUCAGGUCCGGAAGGAAGCAGCAAUAAGCGGAAGUUCUUAUGUGCCGCAGACUAGCCUUCUCCAACGCCUGCGCGGAGCUUUUCAAGGGCGAUUUUUGC